UUCUCCCAAAUAUUUUGCAAUUCAUCAACUUUCAUUUUAAAUGAAUAUAGAUAAAAGUUUGAUUAAUCAACUUGAUCAUUCCAUGAUAUCAGAAAUUUCCGGUGCUUGUGCUUCGUUCUUUCCAUUUUUGCCACAAACGGCCAUAAAGACAUUUAAAAGACCCGCAACUCAAUUAACAGCAUUGUCAACCUCGAAAAUGAAGAUUAUCAUUUCAUAUUUACUUUGCAACCACAUGACAAAGAAGUGCUUGAUCAUUUGACCCUCCUACUAAAUUUGAGGGAACAAGAUAAUCAAAACUGAGUGUAUCAAAAUGGUGAGCAACAAUGUGGUGUCAUGUCUAAUACUCCAACAAGCAUGACCAUGUCAUGUGACAUCUGUUACGUCACUAAUAUAUUCAAGUACAUAACCACUACCAUACCCAAGUAGUACAAAUCCCAACCCAUCUAAUAUGGGACACUAAUGCAUGCAGAUCAUGGACACGGAUACAUGAAGUCCAUGUGGCUUCAAGAGCACAAUGACCACAAAAUUUCUUUCCUUUUUACUUUUU
rnacentral:lncRNA from 1 species